rnacentral:rRNA from 1 species
AUUGAACGCUGGCGGAAUGCUUUACACAUGCAAGUCGAACGGCAGCACGGACUUCGGUCUGGUGGCGAGUGGCGAACGGGUGAGUAAUACAUCGGAACGUGCCCAAUCGUGGGGGAUAACGUAGCGAAAGCUACGCUAAUACCGCAUACGAUCUAAGGAUGAAAGCGGGGGAUCGCAAGACCUCGCGCGAUUGGAGCGGCCGAUGGCAGAUUAGGUAGUUGGUAGGGUAAAGGCCUACCAAGCCGACGAUCUGUAGCUGGUCUGAGAGGAUGAUCAGCCACACUGGGACUGAGACACGGCCCAGACUCCUACGGGAGGCAGCAGUGGGGAAUGUUGGACAAUGGACGCAAGUCUGAUCCAGCCAUUCCGCGUGCAGGAUGAAGGCCCUCGGGUUGUAAACUGCUUUUGUACAGAACGAAAAGGCUCUGGUUAAUACCUAGGGCUCACGACGGUACUGUAAGAAUAAGCACCGGCUAACUACGUGCCAGCAGCCGCAGUAA